rnacentral:tRNA from 1 species
GGGCCAAGUUAGACCCCAGAAUUUGACUUUUAAUCAGUAGGUCUCGGGUUCGAACCCCGACCGGCUCACCA